rnacentral:rRNA from 1 species
AAAUUGAAGAGUUUGAUCAUGGCUCAGAUUGAACGCUGGCGGCAGGCCUAACACAUGCAAGUCGAACGGUAACAGGAAGCAGCUUGCUGCUUUGCUGACGAGUGGCGGACGGGUGAGUAAUGUCUGGGAAACUGCCUGAUGGAGGGGGAUAACUACUGGAAACGGUAGCUAAUACCGCAUAACGUCGCAAGACCAAAGAGGGGGACCUUAGGGCCUCUUGCCAUCGGAUGUGCCCAGAUGGGAUUAGCUAGUAGGUGGGGUAACGGCUCACCUAGGCGACGAUCCCUAGCUGGUCUGAGAGGAUGACCAGCCACACUGGAACUGAGACACGGUCCAGACUCCUACGGGAGGCAGCAGUGGGGAAUAUUGCACAAUGGGCGCAAGCCUGAUGCAGCCAUGCCGCGUGUAUGAAGAAGGCCUUCGGGUUGUAAAGUACUUUCAGCGGGGAGGAAGGGAGUAAAGUUAAUACCUUUGCUCAUUGACGUUACCCGCAGAAGAAGCACCGGCUAACUCCGUGCCAGCAGCCGCGGUAAUACGGAGGGUGCAAGCGUUAAUCGGAAUUACUGGGCGUAAAGCGCACGCAGGCGGUUUGUUAAGUCAGAUGUGAAAUCCCCGGGCUCAACCUGGGAACUGCAUCUGAUACUGGCAAGCUUGAGUCUCGUAGAGGGGGUAGAAUUCCAGGUGUAGCGGUGAAAUGCGUAGAGAUCUGGAGGAAUACCGGUGGCGAAGGCGGCCCCUGGACGAAGACUGACGCUCAGGUGCGAAAGCGUGGGGAGCAAACAGGAUUAGAUACCCUGGUAGUCCACGCCGUAAACGAUGUCGACUUGGAGGUUGUGCCCUUGAGGCGUGGCUUCCGGAGCUAACGCGUUAAGUCGACCGCCUGGGGAGUACGGCCGCAAGGUUAAAACUCAAAUGAAUUGACGGGGGCCCGCACAAGCGGUGGAGCAUGUGGUUUAAUUCGAUGCAACGCGAAGAACCUUACCUGGUCUUGACAUCCACGGAAGUUUUCAGAGAUGAGAAUGUGCCUUCGGGAACCGUGAGACAGGUGCUGCAUGGCUGUCGUCAGCUCGUGUUGUGAAAUGUUGGGUUAAGUCCCGCAACGAGCGCAACCCUUAUCCUUUGUUGCCAGCGGUCCGGCCGGGAACUCAAAGGAGACUGCCAGUGAUAAACUGGAGGAAGGUGGGGAUGACGUCAAGUCAUCAUGGCCCUUACGACCAGGGCUACACACGUGCUACAAUGGCGCAUACAAAGAGAAGCGACCUCGCGAGAGCAAGCGGACCUCAUAAAGUGCGUCGUAGUCCGGAUUGAGUCUGCAACUCGACUCCAUGAAGUCGGAAUCGCUAGUAAUCGUGGAUCAGAAUGCCACGGUGAAUACGUUCCCGGGCCUUGUACACACCGCCCGUCACACCAUGGGAGUGGGUUGCAAAAGAAGUAGGUAGCUUAACCUUCGGGAGGGCGCUUACCACUUUGUGAUUCAUGACUGGGGUGAAGUCGUAACAAGGUAACCGUAGGGGAACCUGCGGUUGGAUCACCUCCUUA